rnacentral:rRNA from 1 species
GUGUCAGCAGCCGCGGUAAUACGUAGGUGGCAAGCGUUAUCCGGAAUUAUUGGGCGUAAAGCGCGCGUAGGCGGUUUUUUAAGUCUGAUGUGAAAGCCCACGGCUCAACCGUGGAGGGUCAUUGGAAACUGGAAAACUUGAGUGCAGAAGAGGAAAGUGGAAUUCCAUGUGUAGCGGUGAAAUGCGCAGAGAUAUGGAGGAACACCGGUGGUGAAAGCGGCUCUCUGGUCUGUAACUGACGCUGAGGCUCGAAAGCGUGGGGAGCGAACAGGAUUAGAAACCCUCGUAGUCC